GCAGUCUGCCUGGAGCAGUGCAGUAUGCUUGGGAGGGAGGAGGGGGGUCUAUCUGUGGGCACAAGAAGCGAACUGAGCAGACAUGGCUUAAAUUUCACAUUAGCUGUUUAUGCUUUUUUGUGGAGCUGGGCCCUUAACUGCAUAUUAGUUUCCAACUGGCAAACUAGAAAUAGCAAGUUUUCUGCUUCACAGGGCUGUUGCGAUGCACUUACGCUAUAGUAAUAGGAGACAUAUAUGUGUCUCAGCUAGUUAAGUACUUAUGUAUUUGCCCUCCUCUAAUACCAGGAUUUGUUAUCUCUACAACAUUUUUUGCUUUAAAUGCUUGUUUAUGUGGUACAUUAUUAUUUUGUAAAAAUAUAUUUUUUCCUAAGUUGCUUUUCCUCCACUGAUAGCAAGGCUUAUUUAGUUGAAGUAGGAAAUGAUGGCUACUAAUAUGUUGCCAGAUGCAGGGAGGAAGAUUGCUUUCAAACAAAUUGAAACAAGCUUGGUAGAUGAACCUUAGGACAUUUAUUGCCUCCCUUGCAAAUAGCUCUAUUACAAAACAGCUCAUAUUGUCCAGUGCUUGCUUUGUUCACUUCUGACCUACCAAUGGUGCAUUUAUCUGAGAAGAUGCAUUCAAAGUGGUUGAUAGUAUUCCAUAAUUGACAUAUCCAGUAAGUCUGGCUCAGAUGUCACUUAUACCAGUGGAAAUCGAAAGGAAUUCAACUUGAAUAAGUUAUAAGUACAAAAACAGCAUGAGCUAUGAGUCAGAGUUGUGAUACAGAAAGGGCGCUCAUUAAACCUCCCUUUACUUACCUAGGAAAUCUCUCGGAGGAAUUUUUUUUUCUUCCCCAGUAUCCUUUUCUGCUGUCUGUCCUUUUUAAAUUCAGCACAACCCAGCAGCUGCAGUCUUUUAAACAGCCAUUUUGUGAUUGAUGGUUGCUCAUUGUAACUUUCUCUCCUUUGGCUGGUAUGCCCUACAUUGUUGUGACUACUGCAGGGUAUAAACCUAGGAAGUUAACCUGGAGUAUGAUAGCAGUACUGAAAGUGUGGAGCUCAGCUUUAACUGUCCAGUAUUAUCAUUCUGAUACUGGACUAUCCUACCCCUUGUUCAACCAUCUCUUCCUCUCGUAUCCUGGAAGGAGUACACAUCUGGCCCACAUGCCAAGGGGGAUAACUGAAUCUGAGUAUCUACUGGAAUUGGAAUGGAAUAGAAAAGCAUACUGGAGGUCACAAAGGACUUGCCUUAUAUAAGGUUUCAUCUGAAGAUAAGAUCCUUCUUUUGCUGGAGUUUAUUGGAAGUCCCUUGCUGUGAAAAGCUUGGCAAGUCAUUGGAGAACUUAUUUUGGAUCUAUCAGUGAGUUGAUUUAAAAGGAUGAUGCAAUGUGGUAUGACAGGCUCUUAAUUUGCAAAAGAAAGCAAAUGUCAAAAGAAUUUUUGAUGCAGAAGAAUCCACGAUGACUGGUUUUAAUGUUGCAGUCCUCCAAAGAUUGCUGCUGUUGUGGGUAUGUGAAUUCUAUUUUCAGUAACAGGAAUUUUCCAGUGGCUCUUUUUUUUUUUUAGAAAGACACCAAAGAGCAUCUCAAAGGCAGUAAUACUGAUACUUGACUUUAGUCAUGAAUAUGGUAGUCAAGUCUUCAUUUCACUUUAUUAUUUUUUUAGCCUCUGCUUUGUCAGAUAAAAUGCCCCCUUUCAAUUCAAAAAGAAAGACAAGCCAAGGAGUUGGGUUUUGGCUGCUUUUUAUUAAAAAUGAAUUUGCUGACACUUCACACAAAAUCUCCUCCUUGGCUAAACAACAGGGUUUUUUUCCCUGGAAUGGGUGGUAAGAUUCAGUAUUUCUAUACACAGUACUCAAUGCUGAACUCCUUUUGCAACAUCACCACCAGAAAUCCCACAGCUGCUGCAACAACAACUCCAGAAAUCAAAUCUGUCUCUGGGGUCAUCAGCCUCUCCCUCCUAUCACAUCCUGGAUUCCUUUUUAAUUAGGAGAAAAUGCUGUUCUUACAGGCAAGAGGUUUCUGUCAUUAGUUCUGUGUCUGUCUUUGGGCACUUGGGUCCCAGAUUAAUUUGGAAGUUUGAAACAGGAGCCAUUCUCUUGAGCAUCUUAGGUUUUUCCUCAUCAUCAUGAAGGAUCAGUAUUGCUCUAACUCAUCACUUUGAAACGGCCUUUUAUACUUAUGGUUUCUAAUGGGCUGCUGAAAUAUGACACCUGAAAUGUGUGGUGAUUUCAGAAAGUUUAAUGAUAAUCUAAGCAUUUAUCUUUACACUCUUAAUCCCUUCUGCAGCCAGGAGAUAAAUUUUCAAUAUGUUGAAAUAAAACUCAUUUACCCUUUCAUGUCUCUGUGCCAUACACAUGGCAUAAUCAGGAUGUUGGUUCCAUUAUGUCUUUCCCACUACAGACCACUCAAACUGACCCACUUUGUAACUACCUGAAUCUUUUAUCCCAGCAUAUCUGUUUGAUGUUAGUCCCCAAUUGUCUCUUCCUUGGCAUAUUUCUUCAGACCCACUUACCUUGACCUCCCGCACUGAUCUUCCAUUACCAUGGCUGCUGUGUACUCUGAACCCAAGUUAUCCACUAGAGUCAGUCUGACUCUGCUUUCCUCUUUGCUCACCUGGAUCACCAGUUUCUGGCUUUCUCAGCUAUGAAAUGACACCUGUGCAUCUGAGUUGUUGGAACUUUUUCCAAUAUCACUUUCUCAGACCAGCAGUCUCACCUCCCUAUCAAAAAAUUCAAAGAUGUUAAGUCUAUUAGUGAGGGGAAACUGGAUUUAUUUGUAGAAGCAAGACCUUCUACUGGGCUCUUUAGAACUUGUGUUAAGACAUGAUUAAGGUGAUGAAUAAGGUUGAUUGACAAGACUGACUACAGUGCACUUUGCUUUUAACCCAGAUUGGCAUUGGAUGAUCUUCUCCAUUCAAAUGCUGAUUGCAAUAUGUUCUACAAAUGUUCAAUCUCAUUUGCAUCACUGUAGUAUGGAUGAAUGUUUCUCUAGUCUUGAAUUAAUUCUAUUGCUUACUGCUUUGUAUUUAUGCUAGUGAAUCAUUUUAAAUUUCUACAUCCUUAUGAAUUAUCAUUCAAUACAGCUAUUGGUGCUUGAAAUGUGCCUUCUUGUUUCUUCUACUGGUGGCAUAACUAGGGUGGGGCAACUGUCCUAAGUGCCAACUUGAAAGGGGGUAGGGGUGGAGACAUGCUGACAUAUGAUCACACACCAGUGGCUCAGUAACAGCCAAAAGUUUGUGCUGUUCCUACACCCCAACUGCAUCCCUGCACCACUAUAUCCAUUAGACUAUUUUAUAUCCCUGUCACUAGAUCUUAAAUUUAAUCUGAUUUUCAUGGUCCGUCUGACUAUAUACUUUACUAUUCCUUUUAGAGGAUUCAAAGAUUAUGAAAUAUUUAAUACAUUGGUCCACAGUUCCCAGUGUAACUCCACUCAUCUCAGUGAUGCUGGUGUGAAAUUGUUUUUUGGAAAUGAGUUUAAAUGCAUGCUACUGAAUGGGGGCCCCAGAUCUGGCCUUCCCAACACUUUGUUUUAGCACUGACCUAUAUAAAUACUUGUUAUAUACUGCACACAGAAAAUGUGGAUGUGGUACUGAAAUGUUUGAGCAUUAGGCUUUAACAGACAAUAAUUCUGUGCAUUUCCCAUUCAAGCACUCAUAAAAGCUUCAGAUUUUUUGUAUCUACUUUACUUUUUGUGCCUAUAUUGGGAAGGUGAAUAAUGAAAGAGAACUUUUAUUGUAUUCUAUUAUGUGUUCAUAUUUAGUGAACAAAAGGUAAAGCUAUUGGUAUCUGUGUCCAGAUUUGUCAGGAAUGGUCCCAAAGCUCUUUAGGCUGUGAGCCAAUCUCUGCUCAUAGCUUCUUAUUUAUGGUAGUAUAGCUCCAUCACUGUCAGUACAAUUAGCUUGACUGGUACUCCCCAAAAAAUUUAAAAAUUGGUUUUGUGUGUGUGUGUGUGUGUGUGUGUGUGUGUGUGUAGAGUGCCAAUGGAUCAGCCAUUAUAUGUGAUCAGUUACAGACAGAUGGGCUCAGACCAAAUCAGAAUCCAGUUUGAUUAACCUGUUGAUUGCCAGGAAAUCAUCAAGAUAAAAGUAAAUGAAAAAGGAAAUCUUCCCUGCUACAAAUUUCAUGUCUUAGUCCGUGCCAGUGCAACACUGUAUUUGGCUUCUUUCUGUCUGUCAUACUUUUCUGUUGUAUACCUCUCAGUAUCCUUGAUAAGAGAUCAAUGUAUUUAUACAAUUACUGAAAUACUUGAAGACACAAUAGUCCAGCCCCAUGAAAUUGGUUCUCUUGGUGGCCAUACAAAAUUAAAAAUGCCAGAAGGAAUCAUUCUUUUUCUUUGUCUGGUUAUUAUAAAAUGCUGCAGUGAAAACUUGCUGACUAAAUGUUUCUAGCCCAGGAGCUAUUUGUGUUCAGUUCCCACUAGAGUAUGGAAUAAGCAAUCUCUAACUGGAUUAUGGAAUGGAUUAAGAGUAGGCUAUGGGUUUUGUUAACUGGAUUAUAUAGUUAUGCUCUCCCCGUGUUGGGAUCUCCACUUGCUUAGCAAUUCCUGUUGUUUAAACAAAGCAUUGGAGCAUGUAUUAUAGGUGGAAUUUGUUCCUUUACUUUAAUUUACUGCUGCUUAAUGAAAUUAUGA